UACGUAGGGGGCAAGCGUUGUCCGGAAUCAUUGGGCGUAAAGAGCGUGUAGGCGGCCAGAAAAAGUCCCGCUGUGAAAAACUCGAGGCUCAACUUCGAGCUGUCGGUGGAAACUUUCUGGCUAGAGUCCGGAAGAGGAGAAUGGAAUUCCUGGUGUAGCGGUGAAAUGCGCAGAUAUCAGGAAGAACACCCGUGGCGAAGGCGGUUCUCUGGGGACGGUACUGACGCUGAGACGCGAAAGCGUGGGGAGCGAACAGG
rnacentral:rRNA from 1 species